CCUACGGGUGGCUGCAGUGGGGAAUAUUGGACAAUGGGGGCAACCCUGAUCCAGCCAUGCCGCGUGUGUGAAGAAGGCCCUCGGGUUGUAAAGCACUUUCAGUGAGGAAGAACGCCUGGUGGUUAAUACCCAUCAGGAAAGACAUCACUCACAGAAGAAGCACCGGCUAACUCCGUGCCAGCAGCCGCGGUAAUACGGAGGGUGCGAGCGUUAAUCGGAAUUACUGGGCGUAAAGCGCGCGUAGGUGGCUUGAUAAGCCGGUUGUGAAAGCCCCGGGCUCAACCUGGGAACGGCAUCCGGAACUGUCAAGCUAGAGUGCAGGAGAGGAAGGUAGAAUUCCCGGUGUAGCGGUGAAAUGCGUAGAGAUCGGGAGGAAUACCAGUGGCGAAGGCGGCCUUCUGGACUGACACUGACACUGAGGUGCGAAAGCGUGGGUAGCACACAGGAUUAGAUACCCUAGUAGUC
rnacentral:rRNA from 1 species